rnacentral:rRNA from 1 species
AGGGUUUGAUCAUGGCUCAGAACGUACGCUGGCGGCACGCCUAACACAUGCAAGUCGAACGAAGUAGCAAUACUUAGUGGCAGACGGGUGAGUAACAUGUGGGUAUCUGCCCUUUGGCCUGGAAUAACACGAGGAAACUUGUGCUAAUACCGGAUAAGUCUUUACGGAGAAAGCUUUAUGCACCAUUGGAUGAGCCCGCACUUGAUUAGUUUGUUGGUGGGGUAAUGGCCUACCAAGACUGUGAUCAAUAGCUGAUUUGAGAGGAUGAUCAGCCACAUUGGGACUGAGACACGGCCCAAACUCCUACGGGAGGCAGCAGUGGGGAAUCUUGCACAAUGGAGGAAACUCUGAUGCAGCGAUGCCGCGUGAGUGAAGAAGGCCCUUGGGUUGUAAAGCUCUUUCGUCGGGGAAGAAAAUGACUGUACCCGAAUAAGAAGGUCCGGCUAACUUCGUGCCAGCAGCCGCGGUAAUACGAAGGGACCUAGCGUAGUUCGGAAUUACUGGGCUUAAAGAGUUCGUAGGUGGUUGAAAAAGUUAGUGGUGAAAUCCCAGAGCUUAACUCUGGAACUGCCAUUAAAACUUUUCAGCUAGAGUAUGAUAGAGGAAAGCAGAAUUUCUAGUGUAGAGGUGAAAUUCGUAGAUAUUAGAAAGAAUACCAAUUGCGAAGGCAGCUUUCUGGAUCAUUACUGACACUGAGGAACGAAAGCAUGGGUAGCGAAGAGGAUUAGAUACCCUCGUAGUCCAUGCCGUAAACGAUGUGUGUUAGACGUUGGAAAUUUAUUUUCAGUGUCGCAGCGAAAGCGAUAAACACACCGCCUGGGGAGUACGACCGCAAGGUUAAAACUCAAAUGAAUUGACGGGGACCCGCACAAGUAGUGGAGCAUGUGGUUUAAUUCGAAGAUACGCGCAGAACCUUACCAACACUUGACAUGUUCGUCGCGACUCUAAGAGAUUAGAGUUUUCGGUUCGGCCGGACGAAACACAGGUGCUGCAUGGCUGUCGUCAGCUCGUGUCGUGAGAUGUUGGGUUAAGUCCCGCAACGAGCGCAACCCUUGUCUUUAGUUGCUACGCAAGAGCACUCUAAAGAGACUGCCGGUGACAAACCGGAGGAAGGUGGGGAUGACGUCAAGUCCUCAUGGCCCUUAUGGGUAGGGCUUCACACGUCAUACAAUGGUGCAUACAGAGGGUUGCCAACCCGCGAGGGGGAGCUAAUCUCAGAAAAUGCAUCGUAGUCCGGAUCGUAGUCUGCAACUCGACUACGUGAAGCUGGAAUCGCUAGUAAUCGCGGAUCAGAAUGUCGCGGUGAAUACGUUCCCGGGUCUUGUACACACCGCCCGUCAUACCAUGGGAGUGGGUUUUGCCAGAAGCCGUUAGCCUAACCGCAAGGAGGGCGACUGCCACGGCAGGGUUCAUGACUGGGGUAAAGUCAUAACAAGGUAGCCGUA